CAAACUUUCAUCUGGCAGCAGCUGUCUUGCAACUCUAUCUGGGGUAUCAGCCACUUUGACAGAUGUGCUAACCGCUAAAGAACUAUCAAUGUUUCGGGGGGAGGGUUCGUCUAUGGGGAAUACACAUUCUGUGUAUUUGUGGGGAUGAAGUCUCCAUAAAAUGUCAACUUCAGGCCCAUGGACUCAAUAUAUGUCACACAUAAUAUAUCUAAAUCUAAGGACUGUCCAUGGGGGUUUACCCCCCAUGUUCAGGUUAAGGACUGGCCAUAUGGGUUUAGUGCCUUUGGUCAGGUUAAGGACUGUCCAUAGGGGUUUUGUGCUCCGAUUGGUCAGGGUAAGGACUGUCCAUACUGGGGUUUCGUGCUCCAGUUGGUCAGGUUAGGACUGUCCAAGUGAAUCUUGGUCAGAUUAUCAGCAGCCAGUUCAAAUCACAGGGCAUAACACAGCCCAUCCUAAUUGGCACAUAACAUGCACGAGUUUAUGCAAAAUAACGUAAUUUACUCUGAGAUGUCGACAGAGUAACAUUAUCGAAAGAUUUUCCCACCCACCCACCUCUCCUCUGCUUACCUUCACUGGGUNNNNNNNNNNNNNNNNNNNNCUGGGUUUAAAAUUAAAAAAAAAAAAAAAAAAAAAUCAGUUAAAGUUUUAAUGUUUAUAAUAUUAGGGAAUGCAGUAAUAACAUGCUUAUGUAUAUUGACAAUAUACCUGUUCCCAUGGAAAGAUAUAGAUAGAUAGACAUGUAUUGUAUGUAUUGGUAUAUAUAAUACUGCAGAUGUUUAUGUACGAAGGAAUCCUGUUAUUGCCAACCAAUCUCGAGGACAUUAUUCUGGAACAAUUAAAAGUACAAGGAAGCACAUUCAAGUGCAAAAGUCACAAACAUUGUUGGUAGACUAGCGUUGAUAUUAUGGAUAUUAUUGGUGUAUAGAAAAUAAUUUUUCUUGUAAAUUCUUGUUGAACGAUUAGAAUAAAGAAUUGCGGUUCGGGAUGAAGUCUCCAUAAAAUGUGAACUUCAGGCCCAUAGACUCAAUAUAUGUCACACAUAAUAUAUCUAAAUCUAAGGACUGUCCAUUGGGGUUUACCCCCCAUGUUCAGGUUAAGGACUGGCCAUAUGGGUUUAGUGCCUUUGGUCAGGUUAAGGACUGUCCAUAGGGGUUUUGUGCUCCGAUUGGUCAGGGUAAGGACUGUCCAUACUGGGGUUUCGUGCU
rnacentral:lncRNA from 1 species